CUUCGGGUACUUGCUGAGGACAGAUAAAGUGAAUAUGCGUGUCGAUAGCGCCCGCGGUCACAAUCUUUCCUUCGCCUGCUACGACAUCUGUGCAGCUUCCGACAACCAUGCCCUCUGUUACGCCAUCCAUAACGUCUGGGUUACCUGCUUUGCCGAUACCAACGAUCAUGCCCUCUUUGACUCCGAUAUCUGCCUUAUAGAUACCCGUCCAGUCCACGAUGAGAGCAUUAGUCACCACGAGAUCGAGGGUGUCGGCAUCGUGUCGUCCAGUCGCUUGACCCAUUCCCUCACGCAG
rfam:Fusarium oxysporum f. sp. cubense race 1 unplaced genomic scaffold scaffold80, whole genome shotgun sequence.